rnacentral:rRNA from 1 species
ACUUUCAGCAACGGAUCUCUUGGCUCUCGCAUCGAUGAAGAACGCAGCGAAAUGCGAUAAGUAAUGUGAAUUGCAGAAUUCAGUGAAUCAUCGAAUCUUUGAACGCACCUUGCGCCCCUUGGUAUUCCGAGGGGCAUGCCUGUUUGAGUGUCAUU